rnacentral:lncRNA from 1 species
AUGGCCACAGGGGAGACAUCAAUGCCCUGGACUGCCCAGCAUGGGGACUUCUGCUCAGGGCCCUUCCUAGCCAAGCUUCUGCCAGCACUUUAUCACCGAAUCCUUCAUAGCGUGUAGAACACAAGGCGCGUCUUCUAGCUUAUUCUUCCUGGGGACGUGUCACUACAGCAGUUUUGCUGCCACCCGAGGGAAUGACAAGCCUAAGGGUGACGUGCAGCCCAUGUCUGGAGAACUGUGGGAGCUGGAUCUCUACGGAUGCAGCACGUUCUGCCUUUUCAAUAAAUACCAGCAAUGUUUUGGCUACACCAGUACAGUGACGGCUGUUUGUUCUGGAGCAGGGAGAUGGCAGGAUGGCCUGGAAGGGCCUUGGAGAUCCUCUCAGGGACGCAUCUGUGAGAUGAACCCCCUCCCCCUGGGCUUCCACCUCGCCACACACCUGCAGACAAGCAGGGUUGUCCUGGCCUCACCUCAUGAGGGACGCACAUGAAUCAGUGUCUCCCACAGCACCCUGGGAUCUGUGCCAAAGUAAACUCCCCGAGCCCCACUACCCGCUGCCCUGUCAUCUUAGCACAGCCCUCGCCAUCUGCUCACGUACAAACAGGAAUUAUUGAGCUGAGAAAAACGCAUGAGCAUUGACACAGUUUAGCCAGACAACUGUAGCACUGCCUCUUGAGCUGUGGGCCAGGGUUUAGUUCCACUUAAGUGAACCUAAAGUGACUUUGCCAAAGUCAUAUAAUAAGUAAGAGGCAGAGAGAAUUUAGAUUUUUUGUUUUUUAACCACACAGGUGGCAUAUGGGAGUUUCCAGGGCUGGGGGUCGAAUCAGAGCUACAGCUGCCGGCUCCACCAGAGCCACAGCAGGUCCAAGCUGCAUCUGUGACCUAUGCCACAGCUUACGGCAACAUCGGAUCCUUAACCCACUGAGCCAGGCCAGGGAUUGAACCCACAUGCUCACAGAGACAAGGUAGCCACCAUGGGAACUCCAUAAGCUAGCAUCUUUAAACCAGAGUCCCCAGGGUCACAAACUGGUGGCAUGUGGGCCACACUUCAUGUAGGGAUGAGGUUUCUUGGCUUCCACUCCAAGUUGGAAUGUCAGCCUUCACUGAACCAUGGUUCGGGCCACUGUCUCUGCUACUACUGCCCCCCGCCACACACACACACACACACUUUUUAACAGUAGGCUGCAUCACACAUCUACGUGGUACCUACCUGGUAGGAGACGUUCACAGGGGUUCCUGCUUCUGUGGUGCAAGUCUUCAUCCUGCUCUGGGGAGAAAGAACAAGCUCAGAUCGCAAUAUCUAUGUGGAGCCAACAACUGAGCCACUGUUCACAUUUUAUGAUGGUUUUCUUUAAAAAGUACCCAGCAUGCAUUAGGCUCCUGCACACACAUCAUUUAAUAUUCCUAAUAAUUUUGUAAACAGUGAUCCUGCUCAUUCUCCCAGAGGAAGCUAGGGCUUCCCGAGACUAAGUUGCCCAGGGCGCCCAGCCCGAACAGGUGGCCAGUCAAGGAUCCCACUGCAUCCUCCUUUCUCUCUCUGCACAUGCUCACCUGUAGGAGGGGAAAUAAUCGCUUCUACCGUAAAGGCUGUUCAGAGGAUUGAAUUUACCCACAUAGAUGCUUAGCAUGACGCCACACACCUCACACAACAGAUAUCACUCGUAACAAUCCUUAUUGUACUCACCAGAAAGGCCCAGUGCACGUCACAAGUAAGAGUGGUUAGUGGGAUUCCAUGUAGUUUUCUUGUAACUUUUCCAGUCGCCGCAUGGUAUUCCAGCUCUCUUCCACUCUCCUUGUGGCUGAGCCGCCUUUCUUUCACAUUCAGGAGUUGGUUGGUCUCAAAUGUACCAGCAAAAUCUAUACCAGGAGAAAUAUGUUUCCUCACCUUCCCGGGGUUGACUUCAACAAAACGCCCAACCUAAAGGUUGAGAAGCAUGUUCCAUCUAGUCCACAGACUGAGGACGUAAACUCAGGCACCUCUCAGCUCUGAGGGACUGUUCCCUAGAGCUACGGGAGGAGCCAGGAUAUAUAGGAGUUUUUGCAAAAACAAAACCAGAUAGACCAUCAAAAGAUUACUGAUCAUUAAAAGAACAGACAUCUCCAGGUAAUGCGUUGAGUGCUUUUGUACUUACAGGAAGAUGCAAGAGUCUGGGCGCAAUUGAAAUCAUCCCUUUGCUAAGCAUCUCAACUAUCAAGGGCCAAUCUCGAGGCUCUCCAUCCCGAAUCCCCUCAGGGUGCACAGUCAGGAGCCACCGUGGCUGAUGGCCUUUGUUUCCUGUUGUGACCGGCAGCAUUUCCCAUCCACACUCACGCCCUCUGGUUUACCGCCUCUCGCUCCUCCCCCUCAUUUGAAAGGAAGGCACAUUGCCCUGGCCCACAGCCAGGGUCAAACCCUUUUCCCUGUUAUUGCAAAUUCACAUGGCUCCUCUCAAAACCUGGCUCCACCCAUGUUCCCUCUUUUAUCAUACAUCUUUUCUGUAUUGGGGAAUCCUGCCCUUAGCUGGCAGCCACGCUCAGGUCUGCCCAGUCCAGGAAACACAAAAACAGAAGCACAGUUCAGAAAGUAUUGAGGCUGUAUUUACAGAUGGCAACACAGAAGGCUCCUGACUGCCCUCCUCCCAGGGACACACCUCAUGAACAGCUACACACAGGAGUUCCUUCUGGAAGAAACUGGCUAAUAAGCACCCUGUACACAAUGAGGGAAGAAAGAAAACCAUUACGUUGAAAUGAGUAGGAAAGGUUGAGACAUCCUCUUGCCAUAAACCCAAGCCCUGGCACAGAGCCAGGUAACGGGGAGGGAUCCCCACAUGCCAGCCUCCCCUUGCAGGGUGAAGGGUUUGGACCUCACACCUACAACACCCAGCUCGCCAGGCCAAUGGAGUUGAGUGCACGAGAGCUACCAACUAUAGCAAACAAAGCAGCAGUUGUCCGUGGGCUCAAGCACUCACAUUGGGGCAGCCAGGGGGGCGCGGGGGGGGGGGGGGGGGGCAGACAAAAAACAUGCAGUGCUAGUCUGUCCCUGAAAGAGGUCUGUUUAGAUGCUUUAAAAGCUGGUGCCUGGGGGUCAGGCUUUUACCUGGGCACCUAUCUAGGGGCUGGCUGACUGCCAUCCUCCCCAAAUGCCAGGGAAGCCAGUGGAUACCACCCCUGUCCCCUCUUGCCUGCUCCAAGGUGCCAGUAUUUCCUUGAAAAGAAUCUUGAUACCAGAAAGAUGUUGCUACCGGAAUCAGGGUUCUUGUUCACGGCAGUCGAAGAAUGAACUCCGUGAACGCACAGGCAGCAAGCAAGCAAAGUCUUUAUUAAAGAAAAGCAAAUAGCUCCCAGGACAGGCUGGGAGGGGGGAGAAGAGCCCCCCUUCUCUGUUGUCCUUUACAGGUUUUUAUUCCUUAAAGAUGGGAGGUGGGUACCAACGUGGGGUCCAGAAAGAUGUGGUUGUCGCCCGUUGGCCUUGCUCAAUUACCUACAUCAGUCCUUGUCCAAUAUGGGUUUUAGGGUUGGAAAUGUCCCCAAGGCUUGAUGGCUUUUUGGUCCUUUCCUUUCCUUAGAUUAAGUCACCAUUCCUCUCACUCCUUUUUUAUCAGUUGAGGAGUGGGCUAGAGAGUCACACUUCCAUAGUAAACAAAGUCUGUGCGGAAGGCCCAUUUCCUAUAAUAAAACGAGGGCUGUGGGGAUGUUACUGCCUGGAGCCCUUAAGCCACAAAAGUUCAUCAAUAGCCAGAUCAAAGAAGGCAUCGAAGCCCAUGCUCCUACACUGACUACCCGAGUUGAUAUUCUGCCUCAGUGGGACUACAGAAAGCAGAGGCAGUUUUAAACUGGCUAGUCCCACAGAGCUCAAUAGAGAGGGAACAGAAAGAAAUGCCCACCUCUCAGUCUUUCCACGAAAGGGGUCUAUCUGCAUUAGUUCAAAAGCUCCUGCCCAAGGGUCAGCCUUCAACCUAGAGGCUGCCCAUGAUCCUCCUUGAAACCAGACACAUCUCCUCUCUCCUGCUAGCCUGCUCCAGAUGGCUAGUUACCUCCCUGGAAGGAGACUGUGCAGUCGGCUGUGCCCCAGCUUUUGUGGCGACCACCUGAGGUUCAAGCAGCCAAAUUGCUUGGUUCUGUUAACAAAUAGGUCUUGCAUUUGUGGAGCAAAAAAGUGGUUCUUCACGGACUCAGGAGGACACCCCUCUCCCCAUCGCACAGCUACACACCUGGAGCAGGCAAAGACACCACCUCCCAUUUCUCCCCGGGAGAUGCCCACCUACAUACUCUCCCAGCUGUUGCCUGAGGAUCCACGCAGCCUGCAUGUAGGAGCUGACUAUGCUCCUCCCCUUUGGGACCCUGACAAGUACUGAGAGGUGCUAGGAACACGGAUGGUGGCUUGGACCAUCACAAAGCUUACAGGAGGCUGAUAGAUUCAUCUCCCACACAGGACCACUCCGUGAAGACCAGGAAAGGAGGCUGCAUUAUCUAAUGCACAGAAACAAACACAGAGUGUUAAGAAAAAUGAAGAAAGGCACAAAUAUAUUCCAAACGAAAAAACAAGAUGAAACCUCAGAAACAGACCUUAAUAUUACAGAGAUGAGUAAGUUACCUGACCUUUCAAUUAACAGACAUAAGGAUGUGCACUGAGGGCAGGAGAGCAAAACAUGAACAAAGCUGACAGAGUAUUAAAAAGCACCAAUCCGAUCACGAGGCUGAAGAAUAUAAUAACUGAAAAAUUCAACAGCCGCUUCGAUAGCAACUAGAUACUGUUGAGGCUCAGCAGUUAACAAACAUGACCAGCAUCCAUAAGGACACAGGUUCAAUCCCUGGCCUCGCUCAGUGGAUUAAGGACCUGGCAUUGCCAUAAGCUGUGGUGUAGGUCACAGACACAGGCUUAGAUCCUGCAUCGCUGUGGUGUAGGUCAGCAGCUGUAGCUCCAAUUUGAUUCCUAGCCUGGGAACUGCCACAAGCCAUGGGUGUGGCCCUAAAAU